rnacentral:lncRNA from 1 species
CUUUAAGGAAGUUCAGCGUUAAACAUGAAACUCAACUCAGCUUAUCUUUGCUUUUCCCACUUAUGCUAAAAUGGGAGAGGAAGGAUCAGAGCGUUCUCCUGCCUCACUGGUGGUCAGCCCUGCACAUUCCAGCCAUCUCUGCAUCCCUGAACUCCAGCCUCUACCUCCCCAACUCAGUAGGAAUGAAGUGCUCUGUUUGGGUUCUUGCUACGUGGACCAUUGUCAGACUUCACUUCCCAUGGUAGAAGCAAAGAGGAGGCGCUCAGCUCUGAAAAGAAAAACGGGGGAACGUCACAAUGAAGAGGAAGCCCCUUUUUCUGUCCCUGGAUACAGUUGCAUCACAUAAUGACAGGGAUAUGUUCUAAGAUAAGUGACCUCAGACAUCUGAAGAAGGCUGGAUAAGAUCAGAGAUGAAUCAUGAGGCCUGGCCUCCAAAAAAAGUCAGAAGCACACACUGGAUGAGAAUGAAGGAACUCGUGGAAACAAAUGGAUCUCAAAGAUUUAAUGCAGCCAGGUCAUGUUCACUCUUGUCAACUUGAGUUGUGCAACACAGUUUAUCUUUUUUAAAUUUUCAUAGUAGUAUAUAAAGGAAUACAAAACAAAGCCACAAAAAUUACAGCUCCUUAUAAUAAUAAUAAAAAUAAAUUUGUAGAUAGAAAUUUAAGGAGUUUACUAAUAGUGCUAAGAAUUCUUAAAUGUACUUCUCUGAGGUUGACAAACUUAUGCAACAAAUCAAAAGAGCAG